GAGUGCUCUUGCAGACGAGGCUGGAGCUGACUGGCCUGGGGGUGACCACUUGCGCUCCAUUUUGGCAGGUGAUGAAGGUGAAUGUGGUGACCGGAGGAAGAUCAGAGAGGAUGUGGCUGUCAUUGAGAAUGUGUCUUGAAGACAGAUGGUGACCCAGAGCACUGCAGAAGCUAAGUUGAGGGGCCCUGGGUGUUGAUGUGGUGCAGCAGUUGGAGUGCCUGAGGGAGAUGGAGGAAGAAAGGGUCAUGCACUAGGAAGGUGAGCUAGAGAUUUGUUGCUGGAAGCAGAGUCUUGUGGUCAGCGGUUCCCUAGUUAAUUUUUGCUUUGUGUUUGUAGGUGUGGAACAACGUGGAGAGUGGGUCGCUCGUGUGCAGGAGGAGCAUGGCAAGGUGGGUGGCAGGCCUUGGCGUGGUGGCCUGUAGGCCAUGGCAGUCAGGAUGGGCAUGCAGAGCAGGUAAAGAUGUGGGAGCAAAUGCUUGAUGUGGAUGGGCUGUGGUUUUGCAGGUGUGACCUGAGUGCUUGCUUUCUGUUUGUGUUUGCAGGUUUUGCAGGAAGUUGUGGAGAGGAGAAGUUGAGUGCUGACAAGAGCCUGAGCAGGUGAGAGGGGGUGCUUGUUGGGUCAGAGGUUUCUUGUGCGGUGGGUAGUGCUGGGCUGCCUGUUGGUGAUGGUUUUUGCUCUGCUUUUUCAGGUACUGCGUGGGCCUUUCCUAGGCAUGGCUGAGGAUGUCAGGUGAGCAGAUUCCUGAUGGGUGUUGCAGGGUUGGUGAGUAUUGCCUGGCAGAAGAG
rnacentral:lncRNA from 1 species